AGAAUGGCUGGGAAUAGUUCUGUAUCCAAUAAUGCCAAUAAAACUCCCAAUGGAACCUCUUUGAAAAAUCAGUUUUAUAGGGAUUUAAUUUUCAUCAUGCCUUUAUCCGGAAUGUUAAGGUCUUGAAAACAAAGUAGUUUCUUCAGCCAAGUACCUUAUAGAUACAGAUAAUAUAAAUUCCUGUUUGUCAGAAUGAUCGUGCCCAUUCAUAAGAGUGCAUAUGCCAAUGCUGCAGAAGAAAUCACACAUUGCUAUAUAAAUUUGACCCGUUGCAACAAAUGAGUCACUUUCCGCAGAUCAUUUUCUUUAAUCUGUGGAACACAAAACGAGUUACUAUCAGGAUAUCAAUGACAAUACAUUAUGCAUUAUGCAUUGUCAAGUUCAAGGCUUUAAGAAAUCCACAUACCUUGUGUGACAGCCGUGAUUACCGUUGCCAAGAAUAUCUGCAGAAUCCGCCAUAGGUGAGAAUAGACGCUCAUUUUGGCCACAGGUGUUCUCUAUGAUAUGUCCCAUUAACGUUUCUGACUUCUCUGAACCCUGAACAGGAGAGACUAGCAGCGCAUUUGUUCCGUCAGCAUCGUGAUGCUGUUUUACCUGUGGAUUCUUCACCUGUGCACGCGCUCCUCUGCGCGCUUCUCAAUCAUUAAUUCAAACUGGAACAGUAACUGCAAGUGUGCCAAAACUACAUGUUAACAAAAGUACCGCCUCAGCUGGCUAUCUUUAGCUAGAUUUACAACCCAUUUUGUUGAUCUUCUCUAAAUUAACGCACAGCUUUCCAUUAUAAUCCAACGAAAGAAAGGUAACCUCAGUUUUCUCUUUCUGAUAACUGUCCUUGACUUCAUGCGUCCUGUCGUGGUCUCGUCCAUGCAGAGUGUUGUGGCAGCGUGAAACACCAGUCAUCUGUCCAGCCGUCACCCAUCGCGAGCUAUGAAUCCUCAGCAGCUCAGAGCACGAGCGACACCGCUAACAGUGAAAUAAACACGAGACAGGCGGUGAGAGUCA
ensembl:lncRNA